GUUUAUAUAGUUUAAAUUAAAACAUUACAUUUUCAUUGUAAAAAUAAAAAUAHUUUUUAUAAAUA
rnacentral:tRNA from 1 species